UACAGAGGGGGCAAGCGUUGUUCGGAUUUACUGGGCGUAAAGGGCGCGUAGGCGGUCAGCACAAGUCAGUUGUGAAAUCUCCGGGCUUAACUCGGAAAGGUCAACUGAUACUGUGCGACUAGAGUGCGGAAGGGGCAACUGGAAUUCUCGGUGUAGCGGUGAAAUGCGUAGAUAUCGAGAGGAACACCUGCGGCGAAGGCGGGUUGCUGGGCCGACACUGACGCUGAUGCGCGAAAGCCAGGGGAGCGAACGGG
rnacentral:rRNA from 1 species